GGAGUUAGCCGGUGCUUCUUCUGCGAGUAACGUCACAGAUGUAAGGUAUUAACUUACACCCUUUCCUCCUCGCUGAAAGUGCUUUACAACCCGAAGGCCUUCUUCACACACGCGGCAUGGCUGCAUCAGGGUUUCCCCCAUUGUGCAAUAUUCCCCACUGCUGCCUCCCGUAGGAGUCUGGGCCGUGUCUCAGUCCCAGUGUGGCUGAUCAUCCUCUCAGACCAGCUAGGGAUCGUCGCCUAGGUGAGCCUUUACCUCACCUACUAGCUAAUCCCACCUGGGCUUAUCCAUCAGCGCACGGCCCGAAGGUCCCCUGCUUUCCCCCGUAGGGCGUAUGCGGUAUUAGCAGUCGUUUCCAACUGUUAUCCCCCACAAAUGGGCAAAUUCCCAGGCAUUACUCACCCGUCCGCCGCUCGUCAUCUUCAAAAGCAAGCUUUUGAAAUGUUACCGCUCGACUUGCAUGUGUUAGGCCUGCCGCCAGCGUUCAAUCUGAGCCAUAAUCAAACUCUGA
rnacentral:rRNA from 1 species